rnacentral:rRNA from 1 species
AGCGAACGCUGGCGGCAGGCUUAACACAUGCAAGUCGAGCGGGCAUCCUUGUGGUGUCCGCGGCAGACGUGUGAGUAACGCGUGGGAACGUGCCCUUCGUUUCGGAAUAACUCAGGGAAACUUGAGCUAAUACCGGAUACGCCCUUUUGGGGAAAGGUUUACUGCCGAAGGAUCGGCCCUCGUCUGAUUAGCUAGUUGGUGAGGUUAUGGCUCACCAAGGCGAGGAUCACUAGCUGGUCUGAGAGGAUUAUCAGCCACACUGGGACUGAGACACGGCACAGACUCCUACGGGAGGCAGCAGUGGGGAAUAUUGGACAAUGGGGGCAAGCCUGAUCCAGCCAUGACGCGUGAGUGAUGACGGUCUUAGGGUUGUAAAGCUCUUUUAUCCGGGACGAUAAUGACGGUACCGGAGGAAUAAGCCCCGGCUAACUUCGUG